rnacentral:lncRNA from 1 species
UCAAAUCUGGAUUGUUCAUCAUGUGACUUUUGGGAUCCUCCUAUAUAUAUAUUGGAAUGGAAGGAGAGUCAUCUUGAUUUUUGUCCGUGUGAGGGGCAUCAUUUGUCUCAAAUACUUGUCGUAAAUAACAUAAGUUUUUUUUUUUUUUUUUUUGGGUGUCGCGAGUAACGUGAACAUCAUGUACAACGAUUGGCUUUUCAACAAAACUUCUAGUGUUUUUCUUCUUGUGCUUGAACUAUUUGAGCUAUCCAGCACCCUGUGAUUGUCCAUAAAUUAUCCUAUUCAACAAUUGAACCAAAAAGAAGAAAAAAAAACUAUGGGUUUCAGCUUGAAAUCCAGAUGCAUUAUGCUAAUGGGUGGAAGGAUACCACCCCGGCCAGGUAAGAGCAGAGAAGCCAUAGUCCAAAGAUCGAACCAAAACGAUUAGAAUGAACCCUAGGAAUAACCAAAUCAAUCAAGAAACAAGCAACCACAAAGAACACAUGAUGUUGGUCAUCUCUCCAACUCAAUCUGAUUUUGUCAAUACGAUCGGAUACGAAGUCUCCAGUAGGCACUGAAUUCUUCCCAUAUUUUUCGAGUUUAAAUAAUUACGCUUUUGAAAACCACUAGACCUUUUAAAUUGGUCAUCUCAGCUACAAAAAAUUAUGUGUCUUUUCAGGCUGAAUUCCUUCAUGAUCAUAAGGUUUUAAGUUUCUUCAUGCUGCUUCAAACACAAUUCUUGUUGCUGGGGCAGGCAUUGCACCAUGGAUUGGUCUACUACCUUUACCAUUAUCAAUAGCAGCAGGUGGAUUAUUUCCAAUAUUCUGAACAUCAUUAUGAACAACAAGUAGUAAAUUCGUUGACGUCUAAUUGGCAAAACAUUAUCAAUUUUCAGUCACUGGAUUAUGGUUCAUCGGAUUUUCUACACCACUAAUUGGCAAAACAUGAUGAUUUCGGUCACCAUUCGAUAUAUUGCCCCAGACAUUCUUAUCACCAUUUGCUCCCCCGAAAAUUGCCGCACUUGGACUAGCUGUUGACCACGAUUAAGCAUCAAGUUCUGAACAUUACAAGUUACUUUCUAGCCAUAUUUUAUUUGUUUUCGAUCAAUAACGGAAAAAUUC